rnacentral:rRNA from 1 species
AUUGAACGCUGGCGGCAGGCCUAACACAUGCACGUCGAACGAGUGGCGGACGGGUAAGUAAUGUCUGGGAAACUGCCUGAUGGAUGGGGAUCACUAAUGGAAAAGGUAGCUAAUACCGCAUACCAUAAGAUGUGCCCAGAUGGGAUUGGCUUGUUGUUGGGGUAACGGCGCACCAAGGCGACGAUCCCUAGCUGGUCUGAGAGGAUGACCAGCCACACUGGAACUGAGACAUGGUCCAGACGCCGACGGGGGGCAGCAGUGGUGAAUAUUGCACAAUGGGCGCAAGCCUGAUGCAGCCAUGCCGCGUGUAUGAAGAAGGCCUUCGGGUUGUAAAGUACUUUAAGCGGGGAGGCGUUACCCUCAGAAGAAGCACCGGCUAACUCCGUGCCAGCAGCCGCGGUAAUAC